GUACUUACGUGGCAGGGGAGACACCAUGAUCACGAAGGAGUUUUUCCCAGGGCGAGGCUUAUCCAUUGCACUCUGGAUGUGUUGACCCCUGCGACUUCCCCAAAUGCGGGGAAACUCAGACUACAUAAUUGUGGCAGUAGCGGACUGUGCUCAUGCUCCCCUG